rnacentral:misc_RNA from 1 species
GAUGAAGAACGCAGCAAAAUGCGAUAAGUAAUGUGAAUUGCAGAAUUCAGUGAAUCACCGAAUCUUUGAACGCACAUUGCGCCCGCUGGUAUUCCGGCGGGCAUGCCUGUUCGAGCGUCAUUUCAACCCUCAAGCCCCCGGGUUUGGUGUUGGGGAUCGGCUCUGCCUUCUGGCGGUGCCGCCCCCGAAAUACAUUGGCGGUCUCGCUGCAGCCUCCAUUGCGUAGUAGCUAACACCUCGCAACUGGAACGCGGCGCGGCCAUGCCGUAAAACCCCAACUUCUGAAUGUUGACCUCGGAUCAGGUAGGAAUACCCGCUGAACUUAAGCAUAUCAAUAAGCGGAGGA